UUGCAAUCGCUAUAAGAUAUGUUUGAUAUUCUUGGUUGUCGAUUCGAAAGCACCCAGGAGUCAAACAUAUUAUUAUAGAGAUGAUGC
rnacentral:pre_miRNA from 1 species